rnacentral:tRNA from 1 species
UUAAAAAUAAGGUAAAUUAAGGUUUUGGGGUCAUACCCCAAAAAUAAAGGGAUCCCCUUUUUUUUAAA